GAUGAACGCUGGCGGCGUGCCUAAUACAUGCAAGUCGAGCGAACGGACGGGAAGCUUGCUUCUCUGAUGUUAGCGGCGGACGGGUGAGUAACACGUGGAUAACCUACCUAUAAGACUGGGAUAACUUCGGGAAACCGGAGCUAAUACCGGAUAAUAUUUUGAACCGCAUGGUUCAAAAGUGAAAGACGGUCUUGCUGUCACUUAUAGAUGGAUCCGCGCUGCAUUAGCUAGUCGGUAAGGUAACGGCUUACCAAGGCAACGAUGCAUAGCCGACCUGAGAGGGUGAUCGGCCACACUGGAACUGAGACACGGUCCAGACUCCUACGGGAGGCAGCAGUAGGGAAUCUUCCGCAAUGGGCGAAAGCCUGACGGAGCAACGCCGCGUGAGUGAUGAAGGUCUUCGGAUCGUAAAACUCUGUUAUUAGGGAAGAACAUAUGUGUAAGUAACUGUGCACAUCUUGACGGUACCUAAUCAGAAAGCCACGGCUAACUACGUG
rnacentral:rRNA from 1 species